GAAUGAGUAGUCAGUAGAGCAUGAGACUCUUAAUCUCAGGGUCAUGGGUUCAAGCCCCAUGUUAAGCA